CUUGAAGCUGGCUACCCUGUACCUCUGUUGAAUCAUCUCUCUGGGCCCGUGGGAUAACUAGGGCACCUCUGCUCCACAAGCCUUCGAUUCUUCUGGGAUCAGAAGGUGACUCAGAGCAUGGUCUUCUCUUGGAGAUAGAAAGAGAAGAGGGCAAGCUUACCUCUAAAGGAUAAAGACUGCUUUCUCCCUCAAAGCCAUACGUACACUAAAGGAAUCACGGCACAAAGAAAAGAAGAGCGGAACAGAAUUAUGAAGCUUCUCUUGAGAACCAAGUUCUUUCCACAUGUAUGGACAGAGGCCAUGGGAUAGAGGAGAAUUACAAUUAAGGAGGAG